rnacentral:lncRNA from 1 species
UGAAAUGCAAAGACAGCAUCUGAAAAGAGAAUUUCCAGAGUUAAGAAUAGCAUGUUUCUAACAGAUUACUUUCCAACUUAUCUGAGGAUAUGUACUAUAACAAUCAUGGAUUUAUAAGAAUUACUUUCUUGCAUUCAUGGGAAAUGAGAGCAAUCAUCAGACUUUCUGGUCCUAACAUCCUGGAUCCACUGCUUACCACAGAUAAACAUUUUCGGUCUGUGCCUCAGUUACCCACCAGAUCAAUCCCUCCAAACGACCUAAUAUAAUGCUUUACUAAGGGAGACAGAAAGUUAGAGAAAUAUGUUUGUAGUUUCAAAAAUUUACUUACUGUCCAAAUAUGCUCACUUACAAUUACUUUGCUCGACUAGAACCGUAUUUUGUUUUAUGAUCAAAGGUCUGAAUUUUGGAUUAUAGUUUAGCAACAACAAUAUCCCUUAAAACAAUGAAAACUGCUAGACAGACGAAACUGGUUAACUCCUUAUCUCCUGCUUACAACCCUGGGUUCAUUCCUACGUGGUGCUUGCUAGCAGGAGACCUUUCCAAUCCAGUUAGAGGAGCUCUGUAUUUCGCCGCCCUCACAAUACCUGACAAAGCAUCAUGCCAUGCUGAUCCAAGCUCGACUCAGGGAGAGGAACAGCCUCUCUCUUCUAACAAUCUGUAAGCCAAAUAGUACAUCAUCUCCAAUCUAUUCUCAAUUCUGACCCUCUUCUGAAAUUCCUUCUUGACAGACUCACUGGAAGCUUACCCCUACACCUGGGUUCAAUUACUGCACACAUACAGAUGGCUUCUCUUAGCCACAUCUCUAAGUCCUUCCUUCCAGUUCACCGGACAGACGCAUUACAAAAACUAUUUCAAUAUACAUUGCUCAUUACCUACCUCUUUCCCUCAAUUCUUCUACCUUUCCUAUUACUGUCACAUCUCAAGCCAAAUUUGGGUCUGGCCCCCAAAGCCUAUUCCUUCUCCUGUACUGCAUGUCUAUGUGAAGGAACUUCCCAGCAGAGCAAGUUCUCUCCAGGAGCCAAUACACUAAGGAAACAAGUGAAGUCUGAUCCCUUUCCUUCCAGCAGGUAGAAGAGGAAGAAGAAAGUGAAGAAAGAUUUUCUGAGCAUACAUGUGUGACAAGGAAGGAAAUGAAGAUAUCAGCAUUCCGUGAACACAUGUAGGACAAGCCACAGGCCGCUUCAUCUAGAGGCGUUGCCAGCAAGGACUGUCGUGGCACAGUGCAGAGCGACCCAGACUCUACUCUUUCCAAGCUGAGUAUCCAAAGACAACUGCAAACCCAGCAAAUAAAUGAAUGAGGUGAUAAGCAGGGCAGUGCUUCUAAAUCCUAGUCAAUCUUCCUCAGACUUCCCAGAACUGUGCUUCACAUCCCAGCCCACAGCCAGAGCCCCAGUAUCCACCCCAACCACUGAACACAGAAUUACAACAUCUUCUUGCUUCUUUCCUCUUAACUUCACUGUAAGACUGCGCUACAUAGAGCAGUAAUUAGUAAUUCCUUUCUUCCCUCCCACCCAAGGUUUCUAUCUGCCUCAUCACCUUGCAAUCACCGAUGUGUGUAUUAAAGAUUUCUCAAUCCUUCCCAGCUACAGAAUGGUCUAAGAACAGCUAAACUGAUAGUGCUGUGCACAGGACAAUAGCUCACAUGGGGUAAUCAAAGUACUUCUAAGAUGAGGGGAGGAGAAGGAGGAAGAGGUAAGAAAAGAAAUCCUAGAUUAAAAAAUAAAUAAAUAAAUUCCCUGCUUUCUCUCCCCUGAACACAUCAGAACUGACUUGUUAUUGGCUUCCUAAAAGAGGGAAGCCACUGCACUCCAGCCUGGGCAACACAGCGAGACUCCAUUUAAAAAAAAAAAAAAGAAAGAAAGAAACUUUAAAUAAAAUAUUUUCCAAGAAAAGUCUCUUACCCAUGACAGAGUACUCUUCAUUUUACAGAGACUAUUAUUUCUUGAACUUUGAGAUUUGUAGCAUAUCCCAUUAGAACGUCAAAGGACCGAUGAACAAUGUACUUAUCGUUAAUGUAAGCUGGAUAUGCUCAUUUUUUAACAGAGCAUACAGCAGUGGCUCUCCAAUGAGAAAGAUAAAGCACCUGGCUGAGUGGAGUACAGUAAAAUGCAGCCUACUAUUUAUUCCCAGAGUAUGUUUGCCAAUGUGUUCCACUGCAAAAUCAAUUCACAGGAAAAAAAAUUGUAUUCAUGAAGAAAUUUUUUUUUUUCCAAAACCUUUGAUGGUGGCUACUACUUGUCUCUACUGGAAUUCAAUUCUAGAUGGUAUCUGUUAGGGAUUGAAUGUCUGUGUCCUCUAAAAAUUCCUAUACUGAAGGCCUAACCCCAAUGCUACCAUACUUAGAAAUAGGCAUGUGAGGAGGUGCAAAGAAUAGCAGUGUGCCUUCCAGAUGCUCUGCCAAUUGAAGAAAUUUGAGAACCAAUGAAUUGAAAAUACAUUCCAUUUAGAAAAAGCUACUGUCUUUCUGGAUUCUAGAAUCUGACAUGUAAAUUCAUAGUCAUUCAUUCUCAUUCUUCUUCUCUCUGCCUUUGUCUGCGUGUAUUCACUCCAUGCAGUCUGUAAGCAACAAAUUCUGUUGUUCUUUUGCAACAGUUCACUUCCUGAGCUGCUCUGCUCUCUCUUUACUUUCAGAUACGGCACUUCCUUGGGUAUUUUGGAUUUUUACUAUAUUAAAAGAAAGGAUGGGGAAUCUAACUUCUAGUCCAAAUACUUAUUUUUAAUCUCCCUUUUUUUAAAGUAUACAUAAAUGAUACAACUUAAAAUUCU